GGCGCUAUAGACGAAUUGGCUAAGUCGUCACCCUUUCACGGUGAAGAAUUCGGGUUCGAAUCCCGAUGGCGUUA
rnacentral:tRNA from 1 species